rnacentral:hammerhead_ribozyme from 1 species
AUUCAGCUGGUGAGUCCCAAAUAAGGCGAAACAUGCGUCAAACUGGAU